AUGAAAACGGCAGUUAUAUUUAAACCUGCUUAGGCGGGUGUUAUUAUAGCAACGGUAGUAAACAAAGAACAGUAAUAUACUGUGCUGAUUAAAAUAAUAAGUAGUAACGUUUUUGGAAUUUUAAGUUUGCAACAAUGUAAUUGAUUGGUCACAUAGAAGAUAGUUUAAUUUUGUAACACCUAUUACUGAAUUUGCCGCGAUAAAAAGAAAGCCGGCAAACACUAUAUAAGUGGAUACGAGGCAGACCGCAUCCAUUGAGAAAGCCGCUGAAGCGGAGAAACGCAUCUGGAGGGGUCUGACUCCCAUCGAUACCAGCCAACAUUUGCACUUUAAAGAGGACUUUUAUUUGAUAUUUCUCAGCAUUAUUUUUGCUGACUCGGGACGCCGAGCAUUUCGAAUAAGGUCUGGACUUUUGCAUGGCUUUUUAUCAGUAAUUUUAAAUAGAC